rnacentral:lncRNA from 1 species
CUAAUGAGCUUCAUGGCAUAGUGAAAACAUGACUUUGAAUUCAGGUAGCCUUCCACUCCGUGCCACUCAGAAGCUAUGUGACCUCAUACAAGUCAUUAUAUUUCUCUCAAUCUGUUUUCUCAUUUGUAAAAUGAGCACAGCUUUCAAGAGGAUGUUGAAGAUGUAAUGAGGAAUGUUGAUUAUGCCUGGCAUGGAGCAAGUCAUUUAACCAAUGUUGACUUCCCAUCUCCCAUAUCCAGUCCUGUAUCCUCAACAGACUGCUUAGUUGGUGGUAUAUCUCAGCAACCUGAAGUUAUCCUGAGAACAAACGUCACUGCCAUGGAAACAGUAAUGUGGAUGCACUGGAUGGGGUCAGCUGCGUCACAGUGGAUCAUUUUCUUGUUAGCAUCUGGCCAAAGUGAUGUGAGUACCACGGGCUUCCUGAAUGACGCUGCACAGGCCCAUCUGCAAGUUACAAGGACCAAAUUGAAAAUAGAUCAUGGAGACACUAGUUGGAUCCUCUGCCUUCCCUUGAAAGAUCCACGGUGGGUUUGUCUCCUGAGACAUACUAUUGCUGGGACUUUUUUUUUCUUUUAAUUUUUUCUUAUCUUUUUUUUCUUCUUAUCUUUUAAGAUGUCUUUUUUUUUGUAUUUCAUUUUUACCCUAAGACAAAAUAUUUUUCUCUUUUUUUCUCUCAGUGAUUAAAAUCUUCCCAUCAACCAGAUGUUCCUAAGGGAGAUACACGCUGCAAGGUUUGGCAGGGCGGGGGUGUGAAUAAAUGUACAUUGAUGGAGGCAGUAGUCACUGAGCACAGGCUGUCUGAUGACCUCAAAAUCACGUCCCUGAUUAAUCAUGAUCUGAGUAGGCAAAGACAUGGGAUCACACACACGAUGACAAUGACUUCCAUUAAUUGCAAUGACCCUGUUUUAGCCUCAGGACCUUGCACUGGCUGUGUUUUCCACCAGGAAUGUGCUGCAAUCUGCGCUUGGUGUCUGUCUCAUUGUUCCUUUCUCUACUUGAAUGUCUCCUAUUCUAGGAACCCAUCCCUGAUCAUUCAAAAAGAACUUGCCUCUUUUACUCUCAAAUCACCUUGCUUUAUCUUCCUCAUCAAAUUAGAGCUUUCUCAAAUUCCCAUUUAUUAAUGACUUUAUGGUCUAUUUCUCAUCUGUACAAAAUAGGCUCCAGAGAGCAAGAACUUUGUCUUGUUCACUGCUGUAUCGUCAGUGCCCAGGACAGUGCCUGACAUAGGCACUAUCCUAAGUGUUUUAUAAUGAUUGUGUCAUUGAUUGCUAAAUGAUAGCCUUUUGUUGAAAUCAUUACUGGAAGUGUAAUUCAGUUGUUCAAAAUCAUAGCACUGUUAGUUAGUAGCAAAUCAACCAUUCAAAUUGAGGCUGGUUGGGUUUGAAGGCCCAGGCUUUUAACCACUCUGCUAAACUGCCUCCCCUGGCAUACAGCAUUAAUUUUGGAAGCGAUCUGGGCCCUUGUGUUGCCAGACUUCACUAGACUGUCAGCCCUGGAGAGCCAGAGACAGAGUCUGUUGCAUCCACAGCACUCAGCACUGUUUGCCACAUGGUAGCCAUUCAAUAAAUAGUAAAUGCUCAAACAGUAUUUGUAGAUAGAUGGACAGAUGGGUGAGUGGGUGGGUGGUUGAGUGAAUGGACGGGUGGAUGAAUGGAUGAAUGGAAGGGAGGAAGGAAAGAAGAAAAGAAAGGGAAGAAAGAAGGAAGGGUAGGUAGAGGGAUAGAUGAAUUGUUGGAUGGAUGCAUGGGCUAAUGAAUAUAGGGAUAAAUAGGUGGGUGUGUAGAUAGGUGGGUAGAUGAAUAGGGAAACAGAGUCCCAG